CCGACUUUAGCUCAGUUGGGAGAGCGCGAGACUGUAAUGGCUAUCACGUGAUCUCGAUGUCGCCCGUUCGAUCCGGGCAAGUCGGA